rnacentral:tRNA from 1 species
GCGCCUGUAGCUCAGUUGGAUAGAGCAAUGGACUUCGAAUCCAUGUGCCGGGAGUUCGAAUCUCUCCAGGCGCG